AUUGAACGCUGGCGGCAGGCCUAACACAUGCAAGUCGAGCGGCUGAGAGAAGCUUGCUUCUCUUGAGAGCGGCGGACGGGUGAGUAAUGCCUAGGAAUCUGCCUGGUAGUGGGGGAUAACGUUCGGAAACGGACGCUAAUACCGCAUACGUCCUACGGGAGAAAGCAGGGGACCUUCGGGCCUUGCGCUAUCAGGUGAGCCUAGGUCGGAUUAGCUAGUUGGUGAGGUAAUGGCUCACCAAGGCGACGAUCCGUAACUGGUCUGAGAGGAUGAGCAGUCACACUGGAACUGAGACACGGUCCAGACUCCUACGGGAGGCAGCAGUGGGGAAUAUUGGACAAUGGGCGAAAGCCUGAUCCAGCCAUGCCGCGUGUGUGAAGAAGGUCUUCGGAUUGUAAAGCACUUUAAGUUGGGAGGAAGGGUUGUAGAUUAAUACUCUGCAAUUUUGACGUUACCGACAGAAUAAGCACCGGCUAACUCUGUGCCAGCCGCCGCGGUAA
rnacentral:rRNA from 1 species